GAUGAACGCUGGCGGCGUGCCUAAUACAUGCAAGUCGAGCGAACAGAUGAGGAGCUUGCUCCUCUGACGUUAGCGGCGGACGGGUGAGUAACACGUGUAUAACCUACCUAUAAGACUGGGAUAACUUCGGGAAACCGGAGCUAAUACCGGAUAAUAUAUUGAACCGCAUGGUUCAAUAGUGAAAGACGGUUUUGCUGUCACUUAUAGAUGGAUCCGCGCCGCAUUAGCUAGUUGGUAAGGUAACGGCUUACCAAGGCGACGAUGCGUAGCCGACGUGAGAGGUGGAUAGGCCACAUGGGAACGGAGACAGGGUCCAGACUCCUACGGGAGGCAGCAGUAGGGAAUCUUCGGCAAUGGGCGAAAGCUUGACGGAGCAAGGCGGCGUGAGUGAUGAAGGUCUUGGGUUCGUAAAACUCUGUUAUUAGGGAAGAACAAAUGUGUAAGUAACUAUGGACGUAUUGACGGUACCUAAUCAGAAAGCCACGGCUAACUACGUG
rnacentral:rRNA from 1 species